GCAUUAAUGGGGUAGUGGUAACCUGGGUCGUUGCCAUAGAUUGCCUGUCGUAUCCUCAUCGACCCGCCGGGGGUUCGAUUCCCUCUUAAUGCA